rnacentral:rRNA from 1 species
AGUUUGAUCCUGGCUCAGGAUGAACGCUAGCUACAGGCUUAACACAUGCAAGUCGAGGGGCAGCAUUGGAGUAGCAAUACUUCAGAUGGCGACCGGCGCACGGGUGAGUAACACGUAUCCAACCUGCCGCUUACUCGGGGAUAGCCUUUCGAAAGAAAGAUUAAUACCCGAUGGUAUAAAGAGUUCGCAUGUUCUCUUUAUUAAAGAAUUUCGGUAAGCGAUGGGGAUGCGUUCCAUUAGAUAGUUGGCGGGGUAACGGCCCACCAAGUCUACGAUGGAUAGGGGUUCUGAGAGGAAGGUCCCCCACAUUGGAACUGAGACACGGUCCGAACUCCUACGGGAGGCAGCAGUGAGGAAUAUUGGUCAAUGGACGAGAGUCUGAACCAGCCAAGUAGCGUGAAGGAUGACUGCCCUAUGGGUUGUAAACUUCUUUUAUAAGGGAAUAAAGUGAGGGACGUGUCCCUUUUUGUAUGUACCUUAUGAAUAAGGAUCGGCUAACUCCGUGCCAGCAGCCGCGGUAAUACGGAGGAUCCAAGCGUUAUCCGGAUUUAUUGGGUUUAAAGGGAGCGUAGGUUGACAUAUAAGUCAGCUGUGAAAGUUUACGGCUCAACCGUGAAAUUGCAGUUGAUACUGUAUGUCUUGAGUGUACAAGAGGUGGGCGGAAUUCGUGGUGUAGCGGUGAAAUGCUUAGAUAUCACGAAGCACUCCAAUUGCGAAGGCAGCUCACUGGGGUACAACUGACACUGAGGCUCGAAAGUGUGGGUAUCAAACAGGAUUAGAUACCCUGGUAGUCCACACAGUAAACGACGAAUACUCGCUGUUUGCGAUAUACAGUAAGCGGCCAAGCGAAAGCAUUAAGUAUUCCACCUGGGGAGUACGCCGGCAACGGUGAAACUCAAAGGAAUUGACGGGGGCCCGCACAAGCGGAGGAACAUGUGGUUUAAUUCGAUGAUACGCGAGGAACCUUACCCGGGCUUGAAUUGCAGAGGAACAUAGUUGAAAGAUUAUGGCCGCAAGGUCUCUGUGAAGGUGCUGCAUGGUUGUCGUCAGCUCGUGCCGUGAGGUGUCGGCUUAAGUGCCAUAACGAGCGCAACCCUUAUCAUUAGUUACUAACAGGUCAUGCUGAGGACUCUAGUGAGACUGCCGUCGUAAGAUGUGAGGAAGGUGG